rnacentral:rRNA from 1 species
GGGUCAGUAGGUUGGUCGUGCCACCGGUACGUACUGGUCUCACUGAUUCCUCCUUCCUGAAGAACCGUAAUGCCAUUAAUUUGGUGUUGCGGGGAAACAGGACUGUUACUUUGAAAAAAUUAGAGUGUUUAAAGCAAGCUAACGCUUGAAUACAUUAGCGCGGAAUAAUGAAAUAGGACGAUCGAUCCUAUUUUGUUGGUUUCUAGGAUUGACGUA